AAGACUAUACUUUCAGGGGUCACUUCUAUAGUUUGUUACUAGAGAAGUUUCUCUGAACAGGUAAAGAUAAAAAGCACAUAUGUACUGUGU
rfam:Nomascus leucogenys chromosome X, whole genome shotgun sequence.